rnacentral:rRNA from 1 species
CACGAACGCUGGCGGCAGGCUUAACACACGCAAGUCGAGCGCCCCGCAAGGGGAGCGGCAGACGGGUGAGUAACGCGUGGGAAUCUACCCAUCUCUACGGAACAAUGCAUGGAAACGUGUGCUAAUACCGUAUACGUCCUUCGGGAGAAAGAUUUAUCGGAGAUGGUUGGGCCCGUGUUGGAUUAGUUAGUUGGUGGGGUAAAGGCCUACCAAGGCGACGAUCCAUAGCUGGUCUGAGAGGAUGAUCAGCCACACUGGGACUGAGACACGGCCCAGACUCCUACGGGAGGCAGCAGUGGGCAAUAUUGGACAAUGGGCGAAAGCCUGAUCCAGCCAUGCCGCGUGAGUGAUGAAGGCCCUAGGGUUGUAAAGCUCUUUCACCGGUGAAGAUAAUGACGGUAACCGGAGAAGAAGCCCCGGCUAACUUCGUGCCAGCAGCCGCCGUAAUAC